AUGGUUUUCUCUGGCAAUUUGCUUGUUCUAAAUUAUAAUCUUAAUUUUAAGAACCCAUGUAGUCCAAUUUACAUUUUUCACCCUUUCGUGUUCUUGUAGAUACAGCUUAAACCCUGAAACUUCAAUGAGGUACUGUAAAACUCCGCAUGAUUAUAUUGGAUAUAUGGUCAAGCCAAUUUAUUGAAAAAAGAAGCAACAACAAAAAUCAAGCCGAAGAAGCCCCAAAACACGCAGCCCACAGGCAAAAUUACCCCACCCAGCAAAUUUUAACCAUUGCUCUAAGUACUGAGCAACAGAAGAGCAGGAGAGGAGAACAGAGAAUCAAUCACCAUCUGAAGAUAUGGCAACGAUCAUACUUGGGAGUCUCCAUUCAGCUGCAACGGACCUUGCGCCUUUGGAGUCCUUGAUUCUAAGGGAUAAUAGACGAUUUCGAAUGCAGUCCUCAAUGACAUCCCACACUGCUUUUGAGGAGUGGCUUGUUUCCCAGUGAAGUUGGUUUUUUGUUCAGCAAAAAUCACUCUUGGGGGUGAUCAAGGAGACCAUUUUAUCCCAUCUUGCAAAAAGAAUGGACCCCACAUGCAUGUGAGGAUGCUUCUCAACUCAAAUUACUGAUGCUCAUGGGCUUCUAUGCUUUCCUUUCAGUGAAAAUAUAUUCAGAAAUAUGAUUUUAAUGCUGUCAGGUGAGUCUUAUAGAAUAUGUUUGUAUAGAGAACCUUUUUAAUCAUUUAUACAUUAUAUGUUAAUGGGCGAAUCCUUUGAAAAUUGAAAUGGUCAUGAGUAUAUAUAGAUGCGGUUUAUUUGUUUAUUAGAGAAAGGACCAUUAAACUUCUAUGUUGUUUAUAUAUCUAUAAGAACUUUUUAGAGGUGCAUGGUGAUAUAAUUUGUGAUCAUGGCCGUCUCCUAAAUAUGUUUUUUUUUUUUCUCCCCCUUCUCAUGGGGGAGUUAUUUCACAAAGAUUUGCCAUGAUGAGGAAGAAGAGUGAGUUCUAAGUAUGUAUAUGUGCACCACUUGCCAAAAUGAGCUUUCUUUGUUCGGGUAACGAGUGUAAUGAGGGCUUAUAUUUUGUUGACAAGAAGAGAAAACCGCUGUAAUGAGGGGUGGAGUAUAGUUUUCGAUCUUUGAUAUUUUUUUUUUCCCCCUAUUUUGGAAUCUGACAAGAAGAAAACACAUGAAACAGCAUUAUAGACUCUAGGCAGGAGAGGAGGCCUGGUAGAGAGCAGAGUUGAGGUAUCAGGAUGAGCAGCCCUUAAGGCUUAACAGGUUAUAUU